ACCCCCGUGAGAAUGCCCUACAGUUUCCUGCCUGGAAACAAGGAGCUGGUAUCAGGCACACUCCUUUAGUAGCCCACAACACCUUGCUUAGCCACACCCUCAAGGGACUUCAGCAGUGAUAAAUAUUAAGCCAUAAGUGAAAACUUGACUUAGUUAAGGCUAAAUAGGGCCGGUAAAACUCGUGCCAGCCACCGCGGUUAUACGAGAGACCCAAGUUGACAGACAAUCGGCGUAAAGAGUGGUUAAGUACUAAAUCUUACUAAAGCCAAACACCUUCAAAGCUGUUAUACGCACCCGAAGGUUAGAAGCCCAAUCACGAAAGUGGCUUUAAACUAACUGAACCCACGAAAGCUAGGGCACAAACUGGGAUUAGAUACCCCACUAUGCCUAGCCCUAAACAUUGAUGAUAACUUACAAUUAUUAUCCGCCUGGGAACUACGAGCACCAGCUUAAAACCCAAAGGACUUGGCGGUGCUUUAGACCCACCUAGAGGAGCCUGUUCUAGAACCGAUAACCCCCGUUCAACCUCACCCUUCCUUGUUCCUCCC
rnacentral:rRNA from 1 species